AGACUUUCAAAAAGGCUGAGGCUGAGUCUCAGAGACUGGAGAAUUUGAGCAGUGAGCUGGGGUGUCCUGAGAACAUCGUGCAUCAGUGGGUAGAUGAUGUCAGACAAUGGGCUACUGACGAUUCUGUAGGUACCAGAUGUGAUGACCAAUAUGAAGGUCAGAAAUCUAUUGAACAAAUGUUUCUUGGUGUUCAUCAAAAAAAAGCCAGCCUUUAUAAUCAGACUGACAGCAACAAAGUUCAACACUUGCGUCGAAGAAAAUUGUGGGAAGAGAAGAGAAAACUCUUGGAAACAAUCAAGCUCUACAAUGAGCAGGUGGCAGAUGAGGAGCGCAUCGUUGAAGAGAAGGUGGAGAGCGGGCUCUCUGUGGGGGGAGGAGACAGUCUAAUAUGGCCUUGGG